rnacentral:rRNA from 1 species
UGGGUUAGCCUGUGGCCACCCAUGUCCGAGGGUCGGCUUAUAAACUAUCACGACGCCCAAAAAGUCGUGGCUUGGGUUUUGCCAGCUGGCGUGAUCUCCUCUAUGAGUAAUCAUGUGAGGUGCCAGAUCUAUGGCGUUUCCCUAAUGUAUCCGGAUGCACCCUUGUCUUGGCAGAAAGCCGUGGUGAGGUGCAGUGGCGGAAUCGUGGUUUAAUAAUCGGGUUGGUACUCAGUUGUCAGUGUGUUCGGCGAUCCCCUAGUCGGCACACUCAUGAUUUCUGGGAUAAUUCCAUACCAGGCACGUUCCGUUACUGUUACUUUGUCAUUGGUUUGAUGCUGAACUUGGUCAUGUGUCUGAUGCUAUUUCAUAUAACGACGGUACCCUUCGUGGUCUGUCUUCCUGACCUCGGUUCAGACGUGAUUACCCGCUGAACUUAAGCAUAUCACUAAGCGGAGGAAAA